AAGACUAUAUUUUCAGGGAUCAUUUCUAUAGUAUCAAACUAGAGAAGCAUACUCAAAAGUAAUUGGCCUAGUGAACUACGAGGAGGAGUCAAAGUGUUGUCUUCUGAGCAUGAACAGGCAACAUUGCAUUUUUGUAGCUGUUGCCUGCUAUUGAUGACCUUUCUGCCUUUUUUUAUUAAGAACUUUGGAGGAAGAGGACACAGACUGGGUGGG